rnacentral:rRNA from 1 species
AGAGUUUGAUCAUGGCUCAGGAUGAACGCUAGCUACAGGCUUAACACAUGCAAGUCGAGGGGAAACGACAUCGAAAGCUUGCUUUUGUAUGGGCGUCGACCGGCGCACGGGUGAGUAACGCGUAUCCAACCUGCCCACCACUUGGGGAUAACCUUGCGAAAGUAAGACUAAUACCCAAUGACGUCUCUAGAAGACAUCUGAAGGAGAUUAAAGAUUUAUCGGUGAUGGAUGGGGAUGCGUCUGAUUAGCUUGUUGGGCGGGGUAACGGCCACAAGGCGACGAUCAGUAGGGGUUCUGAGAGGAACGGUCCCCCACAUUGGAACUGAGACACGGUCCAAAACUCCUACGGGAGGCA